rnacentral:rRNA from 1 species
CUAUAUGAAAAUAUAUAAAGUCUAACCUGCCCACUGAUAUAUAAUUAAAGGGCCGCGGUAUUUUGACUGUGCGAAGGUAGCAUAAUAAUUUGUCUUUUAAUUGAAGACUAGAAUGAAUGGUUGGACGAGAAAUAAACUGUCUCUUUAAAAAAAUUUGAAUUUUACUUUUAAGUGAAAAGGCUUAAAUAAAUUUAAGGGACGAUAAGACCCUAUAAAUCUUUAUAUUUUUAUUUUUUUACUUUAAUUUGUAUGUAUAAUAAAUAAAAACUAAAAAAAUAUUUUAUUGGGGCAAUAAAAAUAUAAUUUUUAACUGUUUUACUAAAUUAACAAUAAUAUUUGAAUAUAUUAAAAGAUCCUUAAUAAAGAUUAUAAGAUUAAGUUACUUUAGGGAUAACAGCGUAAUUUUUUUUAAGAGUCCAUAUCGAAAAAAAAGUUUACGACCUCGAUGUUGAAUUAAAAUUCCCUUAUGGUGCAGAA